rnacentral:rRNA from 1 species
ACGUGACGCAGCAACGCCGCGUGGGGGAAGAAGGCCUUCGGGUUGUAAACCCCUUUCAGUUGGGACGAAGCUUCCUCGGUUAACAGCCGUGUGGAGUGACGGUACCUUCACAAGAAGCCCCGGCUAACUACGUGCCAGCAGCCGCGGUAAUACGUAGGGGGCUAGCGUUGUCCGGAAUCAUUGGGCGUAAAGCGCGUGUAGGCGGCCCGGUAAGUCCGCUGUGAAAGUCGGGGGCUCAACCCUCGAAUGCCGGUGGAUACUGUCGGGCUAGAGUACGGAAGAGGCGAGUGGAAUUCCUGGUGUAGCGGUGAAAUGCGCAGAUAUCAGGAGGAACACCAAUUGCGAAGGCAGCUCGCUGGGACGUUACUGACGCUGAGACGCGAAAGCGUGGGGAGCAAACAGGAUUAGAUACCCUGGUAGUCCACGCUGUAAACGAUGGGCACUAGGUGUGGGGGGUGUCGACUCCCUCCGUGCCGAAGCUAACGCAUUAAGUGCCCCGCCUGGGGAGUACGGCCGCAAGGCUA